rnacentral:rRNA from 1 species
UACGUAGGGACCGAGCGUUGUCCGGAUUCAUUGGGCGUAAAGAGCUCGUAGGCGGCCACUCAAGUCGAAUGUGAAACCUCGAGGCUUAACCUCGAGCCUGCAUUCGAUACUGGGUGGCUAGAGUCUGGUAGGGGGAUCUGGAAUUCCUGGUGUAGCGGUGAAAUGCGUAGAUAUCGGGAGGAACACCGGUGGCGAAGGCGGCCUUCUGGACAGUGACUGACGCUGAGACGCGAAAGCGUGGGGAGCAAACAGG